UACGGAGGGUGCAAGCGUUAAUCGGAAUUACUGGGCGUAAAGCGUGCGCAGGCGGUUUGUUAAGUCCGUUGUGAAAGCCCCGAGCUCAACUUGGGAAUUGCAGUGGAUACUGGCAGGCUGGAGUACGGUAGAGGAAGGUGGAAUUCCCGGUGUAGCAGUGAAAUGCGUAGAUAUCGGAAGGAACACCAGUGGCGAAGGCGGCCUUCUGGACCAGUACUGACGCUCAUGCACGAAAGCGUGGGGAGCAAACAGG
rnacentral:rRNA from 1 species